AGUCUUUGCCACUAAGCCUUUUAAAAAAGGAGACUUUCUUCUCGAAUACAAAGGGGAUCUGAUUACACGAGUAAAACAUGCACGGCAAUUAGAAAUGGAAUAUGAAAAGGAGGGUCAAGGCAGCUUCAUUUACUUUUUUAAAUACAGAGACAAAUCUUGCUGCAUUGACGCAACCAACGAUAUAUUUCAUGAGGUUCGAAUGAUAAAUGAUGCCGAAAAUGGAGACGCAAAACAAAGUUGUGUAAUGAAAAUAGUUGAAGUCAACCAAACUCCCCAUCUAUGCACUUUCGCCGACAGAGACAUUGCAAUUGGCGAGGAACUCUGAUAUGAUUAUGGAGUACCAACACUUCCAUGGAGAAAGGCAACACAAUGACUACUAGAUCUACAGACAGCCAGGAACCAGGACAAACAACAUCCAUGCACACGGAAGAAGUCAAUGAGACGAAAUGUACGGAACAAAAAUGGGCAACACAAUGACUACUAGAUCUACAGACAGCCAGGAACCAGGACAAACAACAUCCGUACACACGGAAGAAGUCGAUGAGACGAAAAGGGUACUUCAAAUACCAGGAGAACAAAACAAGCAGCCAAAAAGCAAUGGAGUGAAAACGAAAAAGGAGCUGUUCACAGACACUUUGAUCGUUUUUUGAUAAUGGGUAAAUCACCAGGGAAGAAAGAAAUACUUGCAUGUAUUGAAAGUGAGAAUGACCUUCACUACCGAAGUUGGAAAAAUGUCAAAGACUUUUGCAGAAAUUUAAUUCAAACAAAAAAGCGACGGGGACUUUUAACUUAAAAAAAUAUUACACAUAUAAUGCACGUUUAGGAGAAUACGUUAAAGGAUGAAGUUGCCACAUUUUUUUGUGUUUCUUGUUCAAUACUCUUUUCGAAAACGAUAUAUGUGUGCUCAUUGUAUUUGAAUGUUUUAUUAAUACGGUUCAGUCAAAAACGAUAUUUGUUCGUAAUCAUAUCGCCGAACAAAUUAGGAUUGGUAUAUAGUUCGGCCAAAGAGUGUUUCUUUGUACUUUCUAUUACGAGUUUCUACGAGUUACUCACUAUUCAAGUUAUUUUUACCCUAAACUUGGUGAAUAUGAAUGAAUAUAGCAAACAUGAUAACAUAUCAAUCUAGAAGGCUAAACAUUCAGAGAAGGCACAAAAAAAUUCAGUCGGAUAAAUGGAAACAAACAUUUUGUUCAAGCACAACAAACAAACACUUUUAGAUGUAAUAAGAUAAAUGUAAAUAACAUAAAAAAACUACUGCUUAACUACUGCUACAAUAUGAAGAAUACAAAUGAAUAUUUUGUCAAUUUUACAAAAUUUGUUUUGAAUGACAGGUGUCUGACUUGCAGUUAAGUACUUAAUAGUUAUUUUAAAGUAAAAAUUUACCAAAAUGUAAAUUAGUGCGUAAAUAUCGCACUAGAAUUGAUUAAAUAGUUGUUAAAUAUUACAAUAAUUUCCUACACAGAUUUUGUGCAUUUGUUUUGCGUGUAGAUAUUCACAUUAACUAUCAAUUCACAUAUUUGCUUUGUGUAUAUAAUUGGUAUGUUUAUAUGUUUUUCAUAUCAAAAU